AUUGAACGCUGGCGGCAGGCCUAACACAUGCAAGUCGAACGGUAACAGGAAGACGCUUGCUUCUUUGCUGACGAGUGGCGGACGGGUGAGUAAUGUCUGGGAAACUGCCUGAUGGAGGGGGAUAACUACUGGAAACGGUAGCUAAUACCGCAUAACGUCGCAAGCCCAAAGAGGGGGACCUUCGGGCCUCUUUCCAUCGGAUGUGCCCAGAUGGGAUUAGCUAGUAGGUGGGGUAACGGCUCACCUAGGCGACGAUCCCUAGCUGGUCUGAGAGGAUGACCAGCCACACUGGAACUGAGACACGGUCCAGACUCCUACGGGAGGCAGCAGUGGGGAAUAUUGCACAAUGGGCGCAAGCCUGAUGCAGCCAUGCCGCGUGUAUGAAGAAGGCCUUCGGGUUGUAAAGUACUUUCAGCGGGGAGGAAGGGAGUAAAGUUAAUACCUUUGCUCAUUGACGUUACCCGCAGAAGAAGCACCGGCUAACUCCGUG
rnacentral:rRNA from 1 species